GUCUUUAUCUUCUUCUUUGUCCAUCCAUCUUCGACAUCUCAAGCCGCCAACAACACAGCCGUGGACUUAUCUUUAUUCGUCUACCUUUCAUCCUAAAAUCCAUUCAAACCAAAAAAAAUCUUCCCAUCGUCGACCAUCGCAGCGUCAAUCGCCACCCUUGCCUACUUAAACCCAUUUCCAAAAUUCCAAGUUUUCCUUGCCCAAAAUACACUUUCCCACACAACGAAUAAAAAUCAUAUGAACAUGUUCAAGGGAAUGGAUACCAAAAAUGAUUGCAUUAACAAAGUAGCAUAACCUUAUAAAUAGUAGUCUUCUUUUCCCCUUUUUUCCCUUUUGGCAGCAAUCUGCUUCGCAUCCAUUUUGUUCCCCUUUUGGCAACAAUCUAUUUCACAUCCAUUUUUCCCUCUUAUGCCAAGACAAAGUGGAGAAUCCACACAUUCACGGAUGAAGGUAAAAAUUUUUAAGUUCAAUUUGUUAAAUUGGUAAUACAAACUAUGAAAUAAUGAUUUGCAGGAUUGAAUUAUUAAAGGUUGAAUUAGUCAUGAAACAAUACCUCCUUGCCCUCUUAGCGGCGCAAAGUGUUCCUGUUACUUCGUUGAACCAAUGUUACCUGAAAAGUGAGGACGAGGCUUUUCUCUCCUGUUUUAGCUUUGCGUGAGAAUCAGUAUACAGUGUUAGGAAAAGAAAAGACGGAAUUCAGGUAGCUAAAGUGUUUUUUUUUCCUUUUUCUUUUUUAGGACGGGGCUUUUCUCUCUCGUUUUACCUCCGCCUGAGAAUCUGUAUACAGUGUUAGGAAAAGAAAAGACGGAAUUCAAUAGCUAAAUUUUUAUUUAUUUUUUAUUUUUUGUCCAUGCUUGUUUCACCUUGGUUGUAUUUAUAGGUGACUGGAGCAGUGUGAUCGCUUGGCGGUUAUGGUGCCACAUGUUCCAUGCAACCGCUUCCACUACUCCAACGUUCUGAGUGGAGGGCCUUUAACUACUCGCGGGUUGGUUGUACCAGUGAGAGCCGUUAUGUGAAUCUCAUCAUUUCAUUGAUGAUUUUAUGAUUAAGUGUUGGAUUCGCCACGUAGGCAAUUUCAUGGGGGUUAACACCCCAAUAUAGUUGUAGAGUGCUAAUAGGGGUCGACGGUCUGACNUUUUUAUUUAUUUUUUAUUUUUUGUCCAUGCUUGUUUCACCUUGGUUGUAUUUAUAGGUGACUGGAGCAGUGUGAUCGCUUGGCGGUUAUGGUGCCACAUGUUCCAUGCAACCGCUUCCACUACUCCAACGUUCUGAGUGGAGGGCCUUUAACUACUCGCGGGUUGGUUGUACCAGUGAGAGCCGUUAUGUGAAUCUCAUCAUUUCAUUGAUGAUUUUAUGAUUAAGUGUUGGAUUCGCCACGUAGGCAAUUUCAUGGGGGUUAACACCCCAAUAUAGCUGUAGAGUGCUAAUAGGGGUCGACGGUCUGACGUAGGCAUAGAGUGUCAUGGGGGUCGACGACCUGGCAUAGAUGUAAAGUGCUUAUGGAGUCGAGGGCAUCAUAGUGGUUGACAACUCGACAUAAAAUGCAAAGUGCCUAUUGAAUAGCCUUCACCUUGUUGGUCACCGUAGACGACUAUCAAUGCUAUCUAAUAUCAAGGGGUUUUGCUUCUAGUUUAAAUUCAUCUACAUAUAAGGGAUUGUUAUGGGUUUUGUCUUAUAUAGUGGUGGUGGCAGUUUGCGAUGGUGAUUUGAUGUGGUAGUGUUAGCGAUUGGUGUGGCGAUGGCAGUUUGAUGUAGUGGUGGGCAUUGGGAAGGUGUCUUUCUUCUUUGAGUAUGAGGGUGGGGGAGGAGAAUGUUCAGUUUAUUUUCCUUCUCUCUCUUUUAAUUUUGAUUUUAAUAUUUUCAUAGUUAAUAAUAGGGAAAUGCAAAGUCACUAUUUUGCCAAUUUAAAAUUUAUUAAAAACCGAUCGAAAUUAUAUUUUUUGUCAAUUGACAAAAUUUUGGAUAAACGUAGUCUAAAAAGGACCUCACAUGCAAUAAUUUGAAAGGUCGGGGGUGACGGCAGCAACAAUUAAAAGAUUUAGAAAACACUUGCUAGUGUUUCAAACGUUUUGAGUUUUUGUUGCAAUUAUCUCUUCGAUGGAUUGCUUAACUAUUCGCUUAGGGUUCAAAAGUUCUGCGAAAGAUGAACACGUAGUGUUAUUACUGGAUCUCAUAAGUCAUAUCAUUACUAGCAAUUUCGUAAGUUCAACAACACUUUUCCCUUGCAUGAAUAAAUGAUGUUGCAAAUUCGCAAGUUCAAUUUCCAGUGAAUGCACAACACUUUUC
rnacentral:lncRNA from 1 species